rnacentral:rRNA from 1 species
UACGGAGGAUCCAAGCGUUAUCCGGAUUUAUUGGGUUUAAAGGGUGCGUAGGCGGUUCUAUAAGUCAGUGGUGAAAUCCGGCAGCUCAACUGUCGAUGUGCCAUUGAUACUGCAGAACUUGAGUACAGACGAGGUAGGCGGAAUUGACGGUGUAGCGGUGAAAUGCUUAGAUAUGACAUAGAACACCAAUUGCGAAGGCAGCUUACUACACAGUUAUUGACGCUGAGGCACGAAAGCGUGGGGAUCAAACAGG